rnacentral:rRNA from 1 species
AAAGAACGCUGGCGGCAUGCCUAACACAUGCAAGUCGAACGAGACCUUCGGGUCUAGUGGCGCACGGGUGCGUAACGCGUGGGAACCUGCCCUUAGGUUCGGAAUAACUCCCCGAAAGGGGUGCUAAUACCGGAUAAUGUCUUCGGACCAAAGAUUUAUCGCCUUUGGAUGGGCCCGCGUUGGAUUAGCUAGUUGGUAGGGUAAAAGCCUACCAAGGCGACGAUCCAUAGCUGGUCUGAGAGGAUGAUCAGCCACACUGGGACUGAGACACGGCCCAGACUCCUACGGGAGGCAGCAGUGGGGAAUAUUGGACAAUGGGCGAAAGCCUGAUCCAGCAAUGCCGCGUGAGUGAUGAAGGCCUUAGGGUUGUAAAGCUCUUUUACCCGGGAUGAUAAUGACAGUACCGGGAGAAUAAGCUCCGGCUAACUCCGU